rnacentral:rRNA from 1 species
AUUGAACGCUGGCGGCAUGCCUUACACAUGCAAGUCGAACGGUAACAGGUCUUCGGAUGCUGACGAGUGGCGAACGGGUGAGUAAUACAUCGGAACGUGCCUAGUAGUGGGGGAUAACUACUCAAAAGAGUGGCUAAUACCGCAUGAGAUCUACGGAUGAAAGCAGGGGAUCGCAAGACCUUGUGCUACUAGAGCGGCCGAUGGCAGAUUAGGUAGUUGGUGGGAUAAAAGCUUACCAAGCCGACGAUCUGUAGCUGGUCUGAGAGGACGAUCAGCCACACUGGGACUGAGACACGGCCCAGACUCCUACGGGAGGCAGCAGUGGGGAAUUUUGGACAAUGGGCGCAAGCCUGAUCCAGCAAUGCCGCGUGCAGGAUGAAGGCCUUCGGGUUGUAAACUGCUUUUGUACGGAACGAAACGGUCCUGGUUAAUACCUGGGGCUAAUGACGGUACCGUAAGAAUAAGCACCGGCUAACUACGUGCCAGCCGCCGCGGUAAGAC